rnacentral:rRNA from 1 species
UACGUAGGGGGCAAGCGUUGUCCGGAUUUAUUGGGCGUAAAGAGCGUGUAGGCGGUUCGGUAGGUCCGUUGUGAAAACUCGAGGCUCAACCUCGAGACGCCGAUGGAAACCAUCGAACUAGAGUCCGGAAGAGGAAAGUGGAAUUCCUGGUGUAGCGGUGAAAUGCGCAGAUAUCAGGAAGAACACCCGUGGCUAAGGCGGCUCUCUAGUACGGUACUGACGCUGAGACGCGAAAGCGUGGGGAGCGAACAGG